ensembl:misc_RNA Metazoa_SRP Metazoan signal recognition particle RNA
GCCAGGCGUGGUGGUGCGCGCCUGUAGUCCCAGCUACUUGGGAGGCUGAGGCAGGAGGAUCCCUUGAGCCCAAGAGGUCGCGGCUGCAGUGAGCUGUGAUUGUGCCACUGCACUCCAGCCUGGGUGACAGAGCGAGACCCUGUCUCAA